AUUGAACGCUGGCGGCAUGCCUUACACAUGCAAGUCGAACGGCAGCACGGGUGCUUGCACCUGGUGGCGAGCGGCGAACGGGUGAGUAAUACAUCGGAACGUACCUUAUCGUGGGGGAUAACGCAGCGAAAGCUGUGCUAAUACCGCAUACGCCCUGAGGGGGAGAGCGGGGGAUCGCAAGACCUCGCGCGAUUAGAGCGGCCGAUGCCUGAUUAGCUUGUUGGUGGGGUAAAAGCCCACCAAGGCGACGAUCAGUAGCUGGUCUGAGAGGACGACCAGCCACACGGGGACGGAGACACGGCCCAGACUCCUACGGGAGGAAGCAGUGGGGAAUUUUGGACAAGGGGGGCAACCCUGAUCCAGCAAUGCCGCGUGAGUGAAGAAGGCCUUCGGGUUGUAAAGCUCUUUUGUCAGGGAAGAAACACCGGCUCUAACACAGUCUGGAAUGACGGUACCUGAAGAAUAAGCACCGGCUAACUACGUGCCAGCAGCCGCCGUAA
rnacentral:rRNA from 1 species